rnacentral:rRNA from 1 species
AGCAGUAGCCGCGGUAAUACGGAGGGAGCUAGCGUUGUUCGGAAUUACUGGGCGUAAAGCGCACGUAGGCGGCUUUGUAAGUUAGAGGUGAAAGCCUGGAGCUCAACUCCAGAACUGCCUUUAAGACUGCAUCGCUUGAAUCCAGGAGAGGUGAGUGGAAUUCCGAGUGUAGAGGUGAAAUUCGUAGAUAUUCGGAAGAACACCAGUGGCGAAGGCGGCUCACUGGACUGGUAUUGACGCUGAGGUGCGAAAGCGUGGGGAGCAAACAGGAUUAGAUACCCCCGUAGUCCCUGUCUCUUAUAC